AUUUAUGCUUUAUUUCUUAUCUCAUCCUGAUUUUGUCUCUUUUCUAUAUGUAUAGCUUCAGACAAAAGUGAAGCAAAUUAAAGUCCAUCCCGCCAUCCUUCCAAAGAGCAAAGAAAGUCCAUGGAAAUUCAUCAACAUCCAGGAUGCUCAGGAGCUUCCAGGUUCAACAGAUGCGUGAGAUCCAUAGCAGAAACAUUGCUGUCCUCUUCAGAUUCAAGUACGGGUGAAAGUCAAGCUCUGGGAUACUGGAGCAGGGCUAUAUAAUUCUCUUUCCCUUGUAAUUUCAUUAAAAAAGAUUAAGGAAACCCUUGAAAA